UUUAGGGGGAAAAAGAAACUCAAAAAGCAUAUAAACUUUUCAAUAAAGCUGUGUGAAAAAAGUCUUAGUAUACAUACAUAAUUUACUUACAAAGAACAAGUUAUAUAACAGGAAGAGCUAUAUUUGGGAUUAGAACAGGCUAAAACCAGAAUAACCUACAUUUGAAACCUAGUUUAAUUCAUAUUAGGCAGUUAUUUCUAUAAGAAAAUGAAUAUUUCCUCUCUUGCAUAAGCAAAAGCUUCAAUCCACAGAGAGAACACCUUUUAAAACAGUGGAACUGAUCCAGAUAUAAAGGGAAAUUUCAUUCAGAGGUAAAGAAAACAACUGUUAAAGGAGAGAUUGCUUCGGAUCUUGAAGAUAUCAAACAACAAAGGAUAAGAAUAUCCCUAAGAGCAAAUGGAGGCUACAGUGAAUACUAGGAAACAGAGGCUGAGGGAGACAUAUCCUGCCUCCGGGAAGCUCACCUUCUAGUGGGCAGCUAGACUACUCACUCAUGGGAUCUAGACAACCGGCUCUCACAAAUGCUGCUACAGAAGAGUCAAGAGCAAGUGGUUAAUGCUUACGGGGCACUGCGAGAAUGGAGCAAGCUUUCACUAGGAAGUGGCAUUCGGAUCUGGCCCUGGAAGAUACCAAGUCUACGUCAAGAACUCAAGAUCUUGGGCUUCCCUGGUGGUGCAGUGGUUGGGAAUCCGCCUGCCGAUGCGGGGGACACGGGUUUGAGCCCUGGUCCGGGAAGAUCCCACAUGCCACGGAGCAACAAAGCCCAUGCGCCACAACUGCUGAGCCUGCGCGCUAGAGCCCGUGAGCCACAACUACUGAAGCCCGCGUGCCUAGAGCCCGUGCUCCACAACAAGAGAAGCCACCGCAAUGAGAAGCCCACCCACCGCAAUGAAGAGUAGUCCCCACUCGCCGCAACUAGAGAAAGCCCGUGCACAGCAACAAAGACACAAGGCAGCCAAAAAUAAAUAAAUAAAAUAAAUAAACUUAUAUAAAAAAAAGAACUCAAGAUCUCUAAGCAGAACAGCUAACUCAAAGCUGAGGCAAUAAAGCUGAAAGGAUGGAAGGAAGAAAGGUUCAACCCUAUGACAAAAUGUAUAAAAAGGGACACUUACAAGCAAAACUCAAAUCCUGCUCAAGAAAUAGUACUGUCCAGGACAGUUAACAAAACUCAAAUACGGACUCAAAGCAGGAAUAAAUGUUCUAUUUUAUGUUUUAGAA